rnacentral:SRP_RNA from 1 species
UCCAUACAAUAGGGAACCACGAACCGUGUCAGGUCCGGAAGGAAGCAGCACUAAGAGGAUAUUCCUAUGUGAUAUGUUUCGC